GGCGAGGUGCGGAUCAUCGUCUGGAGGUCGAUGCUGGCGUCCGACAGCGGCGAGAUGGACAGAGCCCUCUUCCUGCUCAGCCUGGGCGUCAGUCUGGGGCUGGAGAACCGCGACACUAUGUACACACAGAGUUGGAGAGACAGAUGCAUCGUUCUUGACCUUCGUUUGUCUGCGCUACCAGUUUUCAGAUCCUGUUAAUUGCAACCUGGUGUGUCUCGUCUCCGAGCUGCCGGAUCGGAGAAGACAAGAAGAACAAAAAGACACAGAGAGAGGCUGCAAGGAGGCUGUUCAUGCAGCAUGUGGAGUUCAGCAAAAAAUAUCAAACUCUGCCUGCAGCCGGCGUGAAGUCCACGCUGACCGCAGAGGUUGACCAGCUGCUUUGAUCCCUGACCCUCAACCAAAUGGUCCCGCUACAGCACGGCCACUCGCUGUUUUACAGCCACAGUUUGGACCACUGACUUCCUCUUCCCUGCCCGGAUGGGUCCUUUUAUUUGUCAACACCUACAGUUGGCAGCGGCUUAUGUCGAGUUCAAGGCCUCCAUGCUGACAAACAAACCACAGCACAACAGUGGUCAACCACAGUCAGUCAACAGAGCAGGUCUCGGAUCAACCACAUGCAAUCAAGAUCUCAUAUGAAGAAGGGAAUUACAGUCUGGCGAGACUAGAGCGCCUGUUUCACUGCAGUUUCCAAACCCUCCCUCAGACGACAGCAGCAGACAAUGUCAGCGUUGACUCAUCCGUUCAUCAACUGUCAGAUUAAGGGGCGACUGUUUUCUCUGUGAAACGUAUCCUUUUACACCACUUAAGAACAACAUUUCUCGUGACUUCGGCUGUCUCUUGCCGGAUUUUUUGGGCGGCCAGUUAUACUUUUGAUGGAUGUCUGCAUGGCAAUGUCAUGCACCUCCGAGUGGUUCAGAUAUUUCUUUACUUUUCUGUCUGAUAUCUUGUUUAGUUGUCGUGCACGUGAACGUCUUUACAGGUUCACGCAGUGAAAUCAACCAUUCAUGAGUAUUUCUUAAAAGCUAAUUGCUAACGUUGCACCGGUUGUAGUCGAUUGUGUCUCUCCUCCCAAUCAUGAAGGGUGUGACCCCAGAGGUCAAACACUUGACCCUUGAAGUUCUGCUGAGAUUUGCAGACUUUGAAUGCCUGAAUGGGCACAUACAGAGCUCUAUAUAAAGGUCUGUUCUUACUCCCAGCCCAGAGGAAACAACUUCUCCAGCCGCUGAUGUAUUUACACUGAUUCUCACAGGGGCGUAGCUAUUUCCUGCAUUUAUAUGCAUUUAUAUCAUCUUUCAAAUAACAAAUUAUGAUUCAAUUGGUUAUCAUGCUUUCCAUAAUAAUGGUGGUAAAAAAAACAACCUAAUACACAACGACUACUAUUUCUAACACCAACAGUUGACCUUUAAACUUGAUACUUUACCACAAAGAGCAGUCUUUACUGCAUUAUC